UUAGUACUCCCUCCAUCCAAAAAUAUUUGUCGGAGGAAUGGAUGUAUCUAGACGUAUUUUAGUUUUAAAUACAUCCAUUUUUAUGCAUUUCUCCGACAAGUAUUUUAGGACGGAGGGAGUAUAAA
rfam:Triticum aestivum genome assembly, contig: Triticum_aestivum_CS42_TGACv1_scaffold_050126_1BS